UGGGAACGUACCCUUUGGUUCGGAACAACCCAGGGAAACUUGGGCUAAUACCGGAUAAGUCCGUAAGGAGAAAGAUUUAUCGCCAAAGGAUCGGCCCGCGUCUGAUUAGCUAGUUGGUAGGGUAAUGGCCUACCAUGGCUACGAUCAGUAGCUGGUCUGAGAGGAUGAUCAGCCACAUUGGGACUGAGACACGGCCCAAACUCCUACGGGAGGCAG
rnacentral:rRNA from 1 species